GCGUUUUUGGGUCGAUAGGCGAGGUGGUACUAUGUUUUUCUUGAUCCAAUAGGUCGGUGGAAUAUCCCGAGCGAAGAGAGUCCUGAUUGGCAUCCAGCAGGGGGCGGGCGCCCAGGCUACCAGGGCGGGCGCCCUGGGCCUGGCCCAGUUUCGCCUCCGCUUCGGUCUCGUGGCUUCUGGAGUCUUCUAGAUGAUGUAAAAUCGUGCGGUGCGUUGAUAUCUCUAUGUAAUCCCGACAUGUGGGCCUUUCUUCCUUAUUUCCUGAUAACCCCCUGCAGAAACAGAUAAACAACAAAACUCGUGGAAUCUUGUCAUAUCAAACCCUAAUUCUAGGUGAUGGUUGCAUAUUGGUCCUUUCUCUUGUUUAUUUGAUAAUUAAAAUUGAUACUUAAGAACCGUCAACAAAUACCAACAUACUUAGGCUUUUACUCGUCCUCGAGAAAAGGAUGGUUAAGAACAAUAUCUGGGGUAAACAUUAAAAAACAUUCUCUAUAUAAUUGCAGGGUGUUAAAAAAAAUCCACUGUGUACCAUAGUCAGGGAUGUAUAUGGUUAAGAGUAAAGAUCCUUUCUUCUCAAUCCUGUCACUUGGAGCUUUUGUAUAUUUUUGAAAGAAAGUUAGCAUACCUUUUUAUCCUCAUAGGUUCUCUCAGAUCACUCAUUAUCUUUUAUAUAUAUCUCACUGAGGUUGUUUUAUUUUUUGCAAAAAUUCUCAAGCAUACUUACUUUGCAUUUAUUGCCUGAUCAAAACGGGAUCCGAGGAGGGGAAUGUCAUACUCUUAGAUCAAAGACUUUGAAAAUUAAAAACUUUGUCAACUCUUGCUGGCAUAUUGCUUAUUAGAGGGACCAUGGGCUAUCAUUUUUUUCUCUUUUCUCUUUUUUUUUAAGUGGAUACUGAGGUACCCCUAAUUCUACUGCCGGACACUUGUCCAUUUUUUCUGCGAGGUUGUCGAGCACUUGCUCCUUUUUAUUUCCUCGAAAAUAUUUCUAUUUUUGCAUAGCCCAUGCCUCUAAUGCAAUAAUACUUCGGAAGAGUGAAUCUUACUGAAAUAAUGUCUUGAUCUUGGGAGCAUGAUAAAUCUCUCAACAAGGGUCUAACUCAUUCUGAACAAACUCAAUACAGAGCAGAUAGCUUUUAUAAUCAUAAUUAAUAUUUCAGUUUUAUCAGGCAUAUAAAACACUGAGGAUGGUAGCUAGAAUUUUGAAUAUUUUGAAAUAAAUUCUCCAAGCAACAAUGAUAUCAAGAAUAAGAAACUCAUACUCUAUCAUCACAUAUUCCAUAUUGACUUAAGUAACACAGGGUUUUAAAAUGAUUUUAUAAUAAUUGCAAGUUUUCAGGAAAUAUCACAGAUUGAGAUUAAUCAUGAUUAGAAAUAUUUUAAUCCUUUUAUUUUAUCAUGUCGGAAACAGUAAUCUGCAUAAUCCAGAAUAAAUGUAUGUAUGAAGUAAAGUGUGCAGAGUGUGUACCUGAAUGGUGGAGUGGUGCAGUUGGAGUGUGUUUGGCAUGUCGAGGGAUCUCCCCCAUACUUGUUUUCUGCUUUCUUGCACAAAAAUAAAGUGGAGACACACAAGACAUAAUAAUAAUAAUACUCUUUAUUAAUCUUGAGGCAUUUAUUACAAAAGACUGAUAGCAAACUGAUGAUAAUAGUAAACUGAUGAUAAUAGCAAACCUAAACCGAAUUAAAGAUAAAUAACUAAGAUGCAUUGCCUCAAGGUCUAAUCUAGAUAACUUAGCGGCGCUCUAAUUCCUUGAUCUUCUUGUUGGCACUAGCAAGAUCUUGCCUAAGGCCUAGUAUAAUGGUG
rnacentral:lncRNA from 1 species